ACUCCCGAUCUAGGUUAUUUUCUGGAGGUUUCAGUAUUUAUAGGAAUUUUUGGCGUCGGGAACAAGUCAGGGAGGCGCCCGAGUCGUCCACGAGGUAGGUCGGCGCGCCCACCCGUGGACGGCCCGGGACUCUUCUGGCCCAACUCUUUUACUCCGGGGGGGGGGGGUCUUCUUUUGGUCUAUAAAAAAUCGUCAAAAAUUGGCACGUCCAUUGGACUCCGUUUGGUAUUCCUUUUCUUUAAAACUCAAAAACAAGGAAAAACAGAAACUGACACUGGGCUCUAGGUUAAUAGGUUAGUCCCAAAAAUCAUAUAAAAUAGCAUAUAAAUGCAUAUAAAACAUCCAAGGUUGAUAAUAUAAUAGCAUGAAACAAUCAAAAAUUAUAGAUACGUUGGAGACGUAUCAAGUAGCAAGAUGAGGCAGCGACCAGCAACAGCUGCACUACGGGGCGGCGUUAGCGAGUAGCAGCAGUAAGGCGAGGCAGUGGUGAGCAGCGGAACAACCAUGCAAACUGUAAGAAGAAUGAAGCAGCGAUAGCAACAUAUGGUGAAUCAUCAGGUAUCACUUCUUUCAUAUGCCUUAUGUUUGAGCAUGAUUAGGAGCUAGCUUGAGAAGAGAAGUUCGUGCACAUCCUUCUAACUCUAAUGUAUGAUGGUAAUUGCUUCAGUUCACAUUUUUUCCAGUUUACAGAUACCCAUGAGAUGAAAUACCAUGCUAUCUUUUAGUCAGAUAAAUUGUUGAUAUGUGCCAAAUUAUACAUGGUAAGAUUGGUACUUUUUUGUUGACGUAUAUUAUUAGCAAGCUCUUCUUAUAAAUAUGAUUUCUCAAUUUGUAGUAAUACAUCCCAUGCAAGAUUACUCUUGUCCGGUGUGUUAUAAUUAAUUGCAAUAUAAAACAUUUUGGCUGCUAUGUUGUCUGCUCUAUAGUUGGAUAUGGCCGGCUAUGCUAUAUCUGUUUAGGAAGGUUGAGCACAAAGUAAGAAAAUACUACUUUCAUCAUAAAAUUAGUUGCUUAAAAUAUUAGUGUAUCAUGAUCUUAAAAAGGUGUAUCAUUUGUGAUAUAUGUACUAUUUUUAAAUUGUCACAAAGUAUAUGCAUACACUAUUCAUUCAUCCAUCUAGAUCUAAUGUAUCUUUUCAUGUCCCUGCAAAAGAGCUUAUCAGUAUGUGUGUUCUGGUUAUAUAUCAACAAAAAUAGCAGAGGAAUCGAUGGCAAAAAUAAGGAACAAUAUUCUUCUUAUUUCCAAGAAAGGCAUUUAGUUGAUUCAUGUCAGUUCUUGGAACUAAAGCAUCAUACAAUGAUAGAUAGGCUCCUCAUUUCAAAAGGAUUAAAUGAGUCUAGAUGGUCAUGGCUUGUCGUCCGUCUUGAAGUGGAUUCAGAGCCCGGUAGGAUCGCACACCGUAUGGCUUGUACAUCGGAAGAAGAUACAAGAUUGGUAGUGAUAUUACUUGCCUCAGUGCUCAAUUUAUAUUUUAUGAUCCUAUUAAUUUGAACUUAUUUACUUGGUUGUCUCAGCUAAUUUAUUUGUCCUCAAAUGCAGACAAGCAUUCGGUCGAAAAACUCAAAUUAUUCCAUCGAUAGAAUAACAUGAAGAACAAGUACUGGGAUGACAUGGUUGUUACUACAAUAGUAAAAGGCCAAGUCACGGGAGGAGAGAUGCUCAGCGUGUAUGAUGGACAUGGUGGCUCGGAGGUGAGGUUAUCUUCUCUUGAAAAUCUUGACCCACAAAAGAAAUUAACCUUGACGCCGUGGGAACCAGGAAAGCCUAGAUCACGAAUGGCCCCACAAUUUGGUAGUGUUUGUGUGUUGUGCAGUCAAACCUUUCUACGGGCUCCAUGGCGAUGCAGCAGUAUCACCUUCUCAGGGAGAUGAGACGAUGGGAUGUGGCCUCGUCAUGCUACCUGUUCUUGUUGUGCUAGCUUUGUUGUGUGUGUGUGUGUGUGUGUGUGUCUGUGUGUGUGUGUGUGUGUGAGAGAGAGAGAGAGAGGGAUGGAGGGCAUUGGUUAAUAGGGGAUGGUUAUGUUGUUGCUAGAUAUGAGCAACAUUCUGUCUAUGUCUUUAGAGAUGCCUUUUGCUUUAGUUUAACUGGGGUGGAGAGUGGGUACUGUUGUGACAAAGUUGCCUGUUACUAGAUUAUCAAACUUGUUGUUUAGGUGAAUAUCUACCGUCGGAAAGAGAGCAAUGGUACUCUGAUUGUACUGUUUUAUGCUCGAUGUUGAAGAAUACUCUUGCAAGCAGUUAGCAACGAGCUGAUGGUGCAUUAUAUUGUAUAGAAGAUUCUUUUGAUCCCACAAUGCCAAUUGUGCAUUUAUUGUUCUAUACCUAUUUUGUCC